rnacentral:lncRNA from 1 species
CCCAUCGCCAGCCCGACUCAGAAGUUUCUGUUUUAGCUUCCCACCCACAGGCCAGGACUGCCUCGCCUGUCUGUGCGUCGUGGAGAAUUCAGCAGUAGCGACCCCAACAUCAGAGCUCCCCAACUUCCGGGAACUUCAGAGCCCUCGGCCUACAGCCCGGGAGGCCUCGUGCCCAGACGCCAUGCACCCUCCGGUAACCAGCAGCCGCCUGUCCAUCCCCCAAGACCGGAAAGGCAGCAGCAGCCCCCGGGAGCCCAGGGCUGUCCUCGGUGCAUCUGGCUGCAGAGGGAAAUUGAGGACCUUACACAGCAGCUAGCGGCCAUGCAGUUCCUCACUGACAAGUUCCAGGACCUUUGAAGUUGGAGCCAGCAUCUUCCUACAAGAUGAACAGCUGCCACCUUUGGAGCUCCGGAGCUGCAGCCAAGCGGGUUCCCUCCAUAUCCUGUUCAGCCAGGGCUUCCUCUCUUCCGCUGCAUUUGCCCCCUUCCCAACGCAGUUCAAAGCAAUUUGAAAUAAAGUCGUUCUCAUAUUC